rnacentral:rRNA from 1 species
CGUAGGGUGCAAGCGUUAAUCGGAAUUACUGGGCGUAAAGCGUACGCAGGCGGCUUUGCAAGACAGGUGUGAAAUCCCCGGGCCUAACCUGGGAACUGCAUUUGUGACUGCAUGGCUAGAGUCUGUCAGAGGGGGGUGGAAUUCCACGUGUAGCAGUGAAAUGCGUAGAGAUGUGGAAGAACACCGAUGGCGAAGGCAGCCCCCUGGGAUGAGACUGACGCUCAUGUACGAAAGCGUGGGGAGCAAACAGGAUUAGAUACCCUGGUAGUCCACGCCCUAAACGAUGUCUACUAGUUGUCGGGGGGUAACUCCUUCGGUAACGCAGCUAACGCGUGAAGUAGACCGCCUGGGGAGUACGGUCGCAAGAUUA